ACGGGUGAGUAACACGUAGCUUACCAUCCUCCGAGAGUGGGAUAACGGCUCGAAAGAGCUGCUAAUACCGCAUAAGCUCACGAGCUAUAGAGGCUUGAGAGAAAAGGGGAAACUCGCUCGGAGACGGGGCUGCGGCCCAUCAGCUAGUUGGUGAGGUAACGGCUUACCAAGGCGACGACGGGUAGGGGACCUGAGAGGGUGACCCCCCACACUGGGACUGAGACACGGCCCAGACUCCUACGGGAGGCAGCAGUGAGGAAUAUUGCACAAUGGGCGCAAGCCUGAUGCAGCGACGCCGCGUGAGUGAAGAAGGCCUUCGGGUCGUAAAGCUCUUUUCUGCGUGACGAGCAAGGACGGUAGCGCAGGAAUAAGUCUCGGCUAACUACGUGCCAGCAGCCGCGGUAAAACGUAGGAGACAAACGUUAUCCGGAGUUACUGGGCGUAAAGGGCGUGCAGGUGGUCUGUUAAGUCUGGCGUGAAAGCUCCUGGCUAAACCGGGAGAGGUCGUUGGAUACUGGCGGACUAGAGGACGGUAGAGGCGUGUGGAAUUCCGGGUGUAGUGGUGAAAUGCGUAGA
rnacentral:rRNA from 1 species